ACAUGGUAUGACCUUUUUUUCUGCUUCCCUUGCUUCCCCCUCCAUCCCCCUCCCACCCUGUCUCUGCUGCCCUUCCCUGCCCAGCGCAGGGAGUCUGGGGCCAAUUGGCUCCUCCAGACGAUCAAAUGUCACUAUAAGUUGAGAGCUGCAUCACCUUGGGACGCUCGCAGAUCCCAGCCCACCCGUCCCCUUCGGCAGGGAGCUCAGCACUUCUCUCUGUUCCUCCCAGAAACUCACUGCCAACAUGUCUGAUACCGAGGAAGUGGAGCAAGGAGAGGGUAAGUCUUAAAUCUGUCUCUAAUUGCUUCCAUGCAAGCCUGCAGCGUUCGCUGGCCGUGUCCGUCUUCUCCUUUCUGCCCAUUGUUGAGAUGUUAACAAAAAGUGCCGCUACGGUUAGACAAAUCUGAGGUUUCUUUUUUGUGCAUCUGUCUGUCUGACUGUCACCAGCUUCCGGUGAUUUUACACUACUUGUAGCACUUUGGCAGUCUUCGUGCUGCAGGCAGCCCUUAGCGUUUCAGCGCCACAUUGAUGCCCUGGUUGCAGGGGACGCUGCUAGUUUUUGUAGGGGCACUGCCAUCUGCUGGCAAUUUGUUUUGAGGCUUUUGUAUACGUAAUAUUUUCUGGUUUAAAACAUAAAACCCCACAAUAUGUAUAAGCAAUAAACAUAAAACAUUUUUUUCUUUACUGUUUUUUUCUUAUACUCGGAGGCCCUUUCUGCCACCUUUUUCCUUCUGUGUGUGUACACCUGAGUUCCCACUGCCCAAGAAAAAAUUCAGUACAAUAUCGCCUUCCUCCCCUUUUUAUACCUCCUCUUUUUUCUCAAAGUAAUUUUAUUUGUUAUUUUACUUGCUGAUUUGGAAGCGGCCUCUCAGAGACCAUCUUGCCCGGCAUGCCUGUGAGCGCAAAGGGCUCUGCCAUGGGUAACAUCCUACCGAUGCAUCAAGGCUGAUGGUUGAUUUGUCUGCUUUUUUUUUUCCCCCUCCCCUACUUCAAUGCAGAGGAGUAUGAAGAAGAAGGUAACAAAAAAACUUGGAACGUAAUUUAUCUUUCUUUGAUUCUUGGUCCUGCUUUUUCCUUGUCUGUAUUUCAGCCUUCUCUUUGGUGCUUGCCGUUAAAGGUGAUCUGAAACACUUGAUCAGUAAAUCAGUCGGAAAUCAUAAAACAGGCCGAUAGGCUGUGAGGUGCAGAGCCUUCGCGUUACGGCGAAAUGCAGUAUUUCUAUGAGCUGUAGGGGAUGGUUGUGAAGCUGGGAGCUAACCUGUCCGUAAACUCGGAGCGUUUUAGAGCAGGAACUGGUGCAGAGCCCACGCAAUGUAUCAUCAGUGAAAUCCUGCCAUUCUCAUUUUGGCCAUGUCCACGGAUUGAGUUUAAAUUCUGAAAUUGAAAAGAGCAGCAGAUUUCCCAGCUCCUGAGGACCACCUGACAGGGUGCUGCCAAGGAUGGAAAAGGUGAGGCAGAGAACCGACUGGCAAAGAUGAAGUUUUUUAAUGCGCCUUUAGCUGGCAAAACGUGAUUUGACAAGCUGCGAGAGACAGAGUGCUGAUCUGGAAGGGUGGAGCAUGAAAAGCCCUUUUCACCCUUGUUUCAGCUUUUGUAGGCAGCAGGGAGAGGAAGAUUUUGGAGAUGUAUUGCUGUCUUUGCUGGGCACUUUUGACACAUUGGCUUCAGUUCAGGCGAGCGUAGCUGCCGGUUGUUGUCCUUCAUUUUCCCAAGGUGUCUUGGACAGAGAUGAGUGCCAAACUCUGGGGCUUUCUCCCAGGAUCUGCCCUUAGUGUCCAAGACAUCUUCUAAGGGGUCAAGAGCAAAACCUUUACUAGGAGGUGGAAUAUUUGCAUGUGGAAGGUAUGAAACCAGCUCUGAGACAGUCUUGCCCCUGUGUAGAAAUGUCCAUCUUGGGGAUUUU